rnacentral:rRNA from 1 species
AUUGAACGCUGGCGGCAGGCCUAACACAUGCAAGUCGAGCGGAUGAGGGUAGCUUGCUAUCUGAUUCAGCGGCGGACGGGUGAGUAAUGCCUAGGAAUCUGCCUGGUAGUGGGGGACAACGUUUCGAAAGGAACGCUAAUACCGCAUACGUCCUACGGGAGAAAGUGGGGGAUCUUCGGACCUCACGCUAUCAGAUGAGCCUAGGUACGAUUAGCUAGUUGGUGAGGUAAAGGCUCACCAAGGCGACGACCGUUAACUGGUCUGAGAGGAUGAUCAGUCACACUGGAACUGAGACACGGUCCAGACUCCUACGGGAGGCAGCAGUGGGGAAUAUUGGACAAUGGGCGAAAGCCUGAUCCAGCCAUGCCGCGUGUGUGAAGAAGGUCUUCGGAUUGUAAAGCACUUUAAGUUGGGAGGAAGGGCAGUAAGUUAAUACCUUGCUGUUUUGACGUUACCGACAGAAUAAGCACCGGCUAACUUCGUGCCAGCAGCCGCCGUAAAAC